GAUGAAGAACGCAGCGAAAUGCGAUAAGUAAUGUGAAUUGCAGAAUUCAGUGAAUCAUCGAAUCUUUGAACGCACAUUGCGCCCGCCAGUAUUCUGGCGGGCAUGCCUGUUCGAGCGUCAUUACAACCCUCAGGCCCCCGGGCCUGGCGUUGGGGAUCGGCGGAAGCCCCCUGUGGGCACACGCCGUCCCUCAAACACAGUGGCGGUCCCGCCGCAGCUUCCAUUGCGUAGUAGCUAACACCUCGCAACUGGAGAGCGGCGCGGCCAUGCCGUAAAACACCCAACUUCUGAAUGUUGACCUCGAAUCAGGUAGGAAUACCCGCUGAACUUAAGCAUAUCAAUAAGCGGAGGA
rnacentral:misc_RNA from 1 species